GUAUAUGCCUACAACAUAGAAUUAAUGCACCAGGUCCCAUUCUAACUCCAUAGUUAAGUGUCCUCAGGCUAGAUUAGUACUGGGAUGGAUGACUGCCCAGGAAUCCAUAGUGUUUUAAAUU
rfam:Picea glauca, whole genome shotgun sequence.